UGUACGCCUUCAUUCACAGGUACAAGGAACAGAUCUCUGUGACUUUGUGGUGGGAAAAGCCCUCACAUCCUUCUCUCAACGGAGCAGUCCCUUGAAGUGCUUGUUGCCAUGGCGAUUAAAUGUCAAUCAAGACAUCGCAGAGCUGUCUCGACUGGAUUUUACACCCACAUGUGCCGGCGCCGGGUCUUGCCCUUGCUUUUUUCUCUUUCCCCCAAACAUGUUACUAUAAGUCUCACUGGAGCGCAAGUGACCUCGAAAUCGACUGCUAAUGCAACUGUCAUCGCCUGCUGCCCGCCAAAGCCCACCAGGGUAGGUCUGGGGAGAGCAGCGGCGGCAGCAGCAGCAGCAGCAAAAGAAGGAGCGGGAGAGGAAGAAAGAGACAGAGGAGGAGUGUGGGAGCCGUGACAACAUCAUGGUAAAAGAGCCUUGUAGCAGAGGGAGCGGUACAAACAUAAGAGUGGAAGAGCAAACAGACGAGUGGCAGACAGGCGUCAUGAGGGGCGGGAGCAGCAGACGACUCAUGACGAAGACGUGUCACCGAGGUCACCCUGUGACAAGGCUGCACAUUGUAGCAUUGCAGUCAGCAGGUCAGACAGGUCGAUGCCUGAACUAGACGAUGUUUUCUACCUCACUGGAUGCAACCUGAUGCAUGUGAUUGCUUCUGCCACAGACGUGUUUGCACGGAAAGCAGUUUACAUACACAGCAAGCACGUGAAAAAAAAAAAAAAAACGCGACUUGUU